rnacentral:rRNA from 1 species
AGUGGUACGCGAGCUGGGUUUAGAACGUCGUGAGACAGUUCGGUCCCUAUCUGCCGUGGGCGCUGGAGAACUGAGGGGGGCUGCUCCUAGUACGAGAGGACCGGAGUGGACGCAUCACUGGUGUUCGGGUUGUCAUGCCAAUGGCACUGCCCGGUAGCUAAAUGCGGAAGAGAUAAGUGCUGAAAGCAUCUAAGCACGAAACUUGCCCCGAGAUGAGUUCUCCCUGACCCUUUAAGGGUCCUGAAGGAACGUUGAAGACGACGACGUUGAUAGGCCGGGUGUGUAAGCGCAGCGAUGCGUUGAGCUAACCGGUACUAAUGAACCGUGAGGCUUAACCUUACAACGCCGAAGGUGUUU